GGUGCGAGGGCCGGACGGUGAGGCGGCGCACUGCAAAUGCGCAGAUAGUGGGUUCAAUUCCCAUUCGCACCU
rnacentral:tRNA from 1 species